rnacentral:lncRNA from 1 species
CCCCAGGUCCUAGCGCCCCCCCGGAGCCUGUGGCCGUCACCAGCUUCGUGGGGCCUGAACCCUGUGACCUCUGGCCUGUGGGUGAGAGCACUGGGAGGGCACUGGGAUAUACUGGGCUAUACUGGGAGGCGCUGGGAGCAGCCCUUCCCUGUUGUCUCCCCCUCCCCAGCACCCCCAGUUGACAUCGACAUGGAGGUGGCCUGGCCACAGGCCUUCGCGGUGGAGCUGCCCCGGGGGCCUCAGGGCUUCGGGAUGAGCCUCUGGGGGGGCCGUGACCUCAACAUGGGGGUUUAUGUGCGGCGGCUGCGGGAGGGGGGCCCGGCCCAGCGCUGCGGCCGCAUCCAGGUACAGGC